rnacentral:lncRNA from 1 species
AAUGUAGUCGGAGUGAAGCCACGGGCAGAGAAGUUGUGUGUUGCUAAUCAGCGUUGUUUGGUGGAUUUGUGCGUGUUUUAAACCAAACCACAUCUCUAUUCACCAUUGUGGAAUAAAGCAACAUAAUUUAAUUAUCCCGUCUCAUGCAUUCUAAUCGAUGCACCACAGUGAUCAUCACCUUUAAACUGGCAACUUAGUUGAAUACUUCUCAACACGGUGUGUCACACACGGGCCAUAUCUGGCCCACAUUUGGUAGGCCACAACUCCCACUACACCCGGGGUGUCACAGACGGGCCACAUCUGGCCCACAUACGGCAGGCCAGAACUCACACUACACCCAGGGUGUCACACAAGGGCCUCAUCUGGCCCACAUACAGCAGGCCAGAACUCACACUACACCCGGGGUGUCACACACGGGCCACAUCUGGCCCACAUGCGGCAGGCCACAACUCACACUACACCCGGUGUGUCACACACGGGCCACAUCUGGCCCACAUACAGCAGGCCACAACUCACACUACACCCGGGGUGUCACACACAGGCCACAUCUGGCCCACAUGCGGCAGGCCACAACUCACACUACACCCGGUGUGACACAUAUGGGC